AUUGAACGCUGGCAGCAUGCCUUACACAUGCAAGUCGAACGGCAGCACGGGUGCUUGCCCCUGGUGGCGAGUGGCGAACGGGUGAGUAAUACAUCGGAACAUGUCCUGUAGUGGGGGAUAGCCCGGCGAAAGCCGGAUUAAUACCGCAUACGAUCCACGGAUGAAAGCGGGGGACCUUCGGGCCUCGCGCUAUAGGGUUGGCCGAUGGCUGAUUAGCUAGUUGGUGGGGUAAAGGCCUACCAAGGCGACGAUCAGUAGCUGGUCUGAGAGGACGACCAGCCACACUGGGACUGAGACACGGCCCAGACUCCUACGGGAGGCAGCAGUGGGGAAUUUUGGACAAUGGGCGAAAGCCUGAUCCAGCAAUGCCGCGUGUGUGAAGAAGGCCUUCGGGUUGUAAAGCACUUUUGUCCGGAAAGAAAUCCUUGACUCUAAUACAGUCGGGGGAUGACGGUACCGGAAGAAUAAGCACCGGCUAACUACGUG
rnacentral:rRNA from 1 species